UAAUGUUGGUUGGAGAUGGUAUUGGAAAGACCAUAAUCACAGGUAGCAAAAGCGUUGGAGGAGGCACCACAACCUUCCGUUCAGCCACUGUUGGUAAGCAAAAUAAUAUGAUCAUAUUUUUUACUCUAAAUUUAUUUGCAUACUCAACAAAUAUUAUAUACGUACACUAUUAAUGAUGGUUUAGUUAAUGGUUUUAUAUAGAUCUAUUUAAUAUUUGAAUAAUGCCUUUUAACUUAUCGAUCGAUGACAUAUUACUUGUUCAUAAAUCGAGAUCAUACACUUUGUUAAUUAAUUGUUAAAUUAAACACAACGAUGAAAAUUAAUUAAUAUUAAAAAUUUGGGGUAUAAGAAACACUUUCCUUUAUUUAAAUAUUAUUUUACUUUUCAAGCUUAGGAUUAGUAGGAAUAGUUUACAGCAAUAAAAAAUGUGAUAUAAUUUUUAUUUAGGCUACUAUGAGUUUAAUUUUUAUAUAAUUUUAUACUGAUUAUGUAAUCAAUAAAAAAUUAUCUUAGACAUAAUUUUUAAAGUAAUUAUUAUAGUUUAAAAAAUAAUCAUGCAUAACAAUACGAAUGACAAUGUAAAAGUUGUCAAUACAUAUAAAAUUAAAUUCUUUUACAGUUGAAUUAAAAUUUGUUAUUUUUUUAAUCUCAAAUUCAUUGGUGAUUGCCCUCACCGGGAAGCUAGCUAACCCUUAAUAUUAUAUUUUUUGUGAGUGACUUUAACAAAUAACAAUAAAUUCAUAGAAGUAAUAUUUGGUUCACGUCAUUUUAAUUCUAUUCCUCUUUAUUUGAUAGGGAAAAGAAAGAGAAAAAUAAACUAUUUUUUAAGACUUAGAGCUAAAAAAUCACGACUCAGUGCACACUUGUCAGUGAAGGAUAUAACCACUAUAUUUAACAUAGCUACACGUUGAACCCAAAUACAUUUUAUAUUGAUUCUAAAUAUAGUUGUGUACUUAACAUAAAUAGUCGACAAGUUAAAUAGUUUUUGUAGAUACAGACAAAAGGAGAUUUAAAUAAUAAUAAUAAUAAAAAUAAAUAAAUAAACAGAUCGAUGCCAUUAUGAUUUCAUUCAAAUAUAUAUUUAUAUCUUUAUUUUUUGCUUCGAGGACAUGUAUUAAAGAAAUUUGUAUUUAUGUUACAAAAAAAGCAAUUUGUAUUAUUAAUUAGACGUUGCCACGGCACCUUAAUUUAAUAAAAGCUCCAUAUUGUCUUGAUUAGUGAUUGAGUUGUUCGUGGAGCCCAACCGUGACCCACAUUAAGUUGAUAAAGCUAGAAUCAUCUUAGAUAUAUUUUCUUCUAUUUUCGUGGUAAAAAUCUUUCAUACAUUUUUUUUACAUUAUAUCUGAUGCUACCCGGUUAAAAAAAAAUUGUUAAAAUUUCAUGUCUCUAGCUAAUUAAUUAAAUGUUUUUGUCAAAUAAUAAGUUAAUUAAAUGUUGUCCAUUCGAUGAAAGAAAUUCAUCAUACAUGAAUGGGGUAACAAAAGGGGGGCUAAAUUAAUAUUUUAAUCUGUUGCAAGUCAAAGAGACAAUUGUGUGCUGUUUUCCUAUUGGAAUUAAGAAAAUAUAACGUUCUUUAGCCGCAGCUUUGGUUCAAGGGUUAAUUUACGUGGAUGAAUUGAAUUGGUGGCCUUUAAAUUUAAAGGGGCACACACGAAACCUGUAUUAGAGAGUAAGUUAAGGUUAACAAGCUUAAAUUGUUGAGGUUAUGCGAACAGGGGAGCAAUUGAAAUUUGACUUUCAGUGGUAAAAAAACUAAUGGAGACGUGAGGCAUGCAAAAAGGACAGAUAAAUGCCUUCUAUAUUAUUUUAUAUUUCUUUGAUGGACUAUUCUAAAAAAUUGCAUCCAUCACCUUUGAUUCCUAAUCCAAAGCAUGCUACCCAACUUGAUAUAUUCUAAAGUUCCGAGUACUGAAGCUAGAUUAGACUAGAGUAUGAUGUCAUUAUUAAUUGAUAAUAAAUUGAACAAUUCAAAAGUAGAAAAAAUUAGUUGGCACAGUACGGCAUUUGGAUAGGGAUAUUUGCAAUUGGGUUGAAUAUAUGAAUAUAUUAAAGCCAGAAAAUAAAUAUUAAAAAACUUUGUUUUUUUAAUACAAAUCAAUAUUAUGAAUAGUUGAGAUUUUAUAAAAAAAAUUGUAAAAAAAAUCUAUAAAUUGGGAGUGUAAAAAGAUAUUAUACAUUAUACUCAAUUGUGAAUCACGAAUUAUUAUAUCCAUGUAAUAAAUUUGUUUAUUUUAUAAUAAUCAUCUUAAGAAUUAUAUUAUUACGGUGUUUGGUUGGUUGAAUAUAGUUAUACAAACAGUAACUAUAUAACAAUUAAACUCCAAAAAAUUAUUGUUGUUUAAUUCAAUUAUUCUUUUUUUUUUUUUCAGCUGCUGUGGGUGAUGGAUUCAUUGCUCAAGACAUCACAUUCAGGAACACAGCAGGAGCAGCAAAUCACCAAGCAGUGGCAUUCCGUUCUGGCUCAGAUCUCUCAGUAUUUUACAGAUGCAGCUUUGAGGGUUUCCAAGACACACUAUAUGUUCAUUCAGAGAGGCAAUUCUACAGAGAAUGUGACAUUUAUGGCACAGUGGAUUUCAUCUUUGGCAAUGCUGCUGCAGUCUUGCAAAACUGCAACAUCUAUGCAAGAACCCCUCCACAGAGAACCAUCACAGUCACAGCUCAAGGCAGAACUGACCCUAACCAAAACACAGGAAUCAUCAUCCACAACUCCAAGGUCACAGGUGCCUCAGGCUUCAACCCUAGUUCUGUUAAGUCAUACCUAGGAAGACCCUGGCAAAAGUACUCAAGAACAGUGUUCAUGAAAACCUAUCUUGAUAGCUUGAUCAACCCUGCUGGUUGGAUGGAAUGGGAUGGUAAC
rnacentral:lncRNA from 1 species